rnacentral:rRNA from 1 species
GAGGAGCUGCCCUUAGUACGAGAGGACCGGGGUGGACUGGCCUCUGGUGUAUCUGUUGAACUAUCAAGUUCAUGGCAGAGUAGCCAAGCCGGGACGGGAUAAACGCUGAAGGCAUCUAAGCGUGAAGCUAUACGCAAGUAGUAAGACCCCUUGAAGACGACGAGGUAGAUAGGGCAGAGGUGGAAGUGUAGUAAUACAUGAAGCUGACUGUUACUAAUCGGUCGAGGGCUUAACCAAAA